UUGACAAGCCUGAAUAUUGAAGUCUUCUAUCUACUGAAGAGAUAAAGCAAAGGUAGCAGCAAUGUAACCUUCCUCCACACUAACUGAUGUGCUUCAGCCCUGACCUGAACAGACCAUAUCUACAGAAGAAAGGGAGUUCAGUUUAAGCCCAUUCAAUCCUGAGCCUCU
ensembl:misc_RNA